rnacentral:rRNA from 1 species
AUUGAACGCUGGCGGCAGGCCUAACACAUGCAAGUCGAGCGGAUGAAGGGAGCUUGCUCCUGGAUUCAGCGGCGGACGGGUGAGUAAUGCCUAGGAAUCUGCCUGGUAGUGGGGGAUAACGUCCGGAAACGGGCGCUAAUACCGCAUACGUCCUGAGGGAGAAAGUGGGGGAUCUUCGGACCUCACGCUAUCAGAUGAGCCUAGGUCGGAUUAGCUAGUUGGUGGGGUAAAGGCCUACCAAGGCGACGAUCCGUAACUGGCAUGAGAGGAUGAUCAGUCACACUGGAACUGAGACAAGGUGCAGACGCCGAAGGGAGGCAGCAGGAGGGAAUGUGGAGCAAUGGGCGAAAGCCUGAAGGAGCAACGACGCGGGAGUGAGGAAGGUAUUCGGAUCGUAAACCUCUGUGAUUAGGGAAGAACAAAGGGGUAAGUAAAUAUGCACGUCUUGACGGUAACUAAUCAGAAAGACACGGCUAACUAAGUG